rnacentral:lncRNA from 1 species
GCAUCAAAACAUAAUUUUAGUAUCGAUUUUAUUAAAUAAAAAUGGUGAACAAAUCCACCAAUUAUUAAUCUUGCCAAUGUGUUUGGCGAAUUAUUACAUUGUUGGAAGAUGACAUGGCUAAAGUGGAGGAGAGCAAAGCGCUUGGCAUGCGCAAGUGUGAUCAGACUUAAAUUGUGUGCAAUGGCAUCCGUGAAGCAUGCUACUUGCACCAUACUUUCCUGACAUCUCGAUGAAGCAACCAAGAUUCUCAGAUGGACAUUUUCCCGGAAAAUGUUCAGUCACAGUACAGAAUUGUCCUGCAAGAAUAAAUGAAAGACCAAGUUUGUAUCAACAUUUUUUUUUUCUUUUUUUUUCUUUUUUAAAAAGAUGGAUUUUGAGAUAUAUCUCUAGAAUUUUUUUGCAGAUUUAAUAAAUGAGAGUUCCUUAUUUUAUUUUCCUUUUUUAAAAAAAAUAAUAAGAAAAAUAGAAAAUAUAAGAGCUUGUUUAGAAACUACUUUUUGAAAAGAAUUUUUUUUUUCUAAAGAAUAUAAAAUAGUUUUUUAACCUAAAAAUGUGUUUGGAAAAUCUUUAAUUGAAAAUGUGUUUUUGAUAAUUUAUUUCAACUUUUGUAUAUAGAGAAUAAGGUAAAAAGAAAAAAAAUUAUAUCUGAAUUUUCAAGUAAAAUUUUGUUUUUAAAAAUAUUGAAUUUAUUUUAAAAUGGAUUUAAAUAUUAUUUUUUGAAAAUUAUUUUCAAAAACAUCAUAAACUAAGCCUAUACUUAUAAUUGGUUUUUGAAUUUUUGUAAAACAAAAAUGUGUUUAAGAUUUUAAAAUAUUCUUAAUCUUUUUUUAUAUUAUUAAUAUAAUAUAAAAUAUUUUUAUAUUUUAAGCCUGUACUUAAAAUAUUCUUAAUAUUAUUGGGGUUUAUCUCAUCUUACCACCAAGGCAAGUUUGCUUCUUAUUAGAUGUAAUACACUAAAAUAUAUAUUUAAAGUCAUCAUAUAAAGAAAAUUUUAAAAGAAUAUUUUAGAGAGCAAAUUAAUUAUAAUUAUUUUAUAAUUAAAUACAAAAAUUUCUUUUAAUUUAUUACCAAAAAUAUAAAAAAAAAUAUCAUAAUAAUUUUCUUCAUAGUAUUUUUAAUAUCAUUAAUAAAUUAAUUAAAUAUUAAAAAAUUAUACAUAUAUCAUAAUUUAUUUAAUAUCAUUUAAUAUAAUUGAAUUAAAUGGAUCAUAAUUUUAAUAUUAAUAUAUAUUUUAAAAAUAGACAUAUUAUAAUUAAAUAUCAUAAUAUUAUUAUGAAAUAAUAUUUGAUGUAAUUUAAUAAUAAAUGUACAUUUAUAAAAUUCAUAUUUUUAUACAAUAUUAUCAAAUAUGAUAAAUCAUAUUAUACAUAUAUCAAAUUCUUUAAUAAAACAAUUUUAAAACAUCUAUUAUACUUUUAAUUACAUUUUUAUGAAGUUUUUCUUAUAUUUUUUUUUAUAAAUUUUCAUCAAUUUUACGUCUAUCGAUAUUUUUCGAUAUAUCUGAUAUACCCGUAAUUUCCGAUAUUUUUAUCUUGGUCCCAUCUCCUUGUGGAGACCCGAUCUUUUUAUCCUAUAUGCUAAUUUUCUUCAUACAGAGUGAAAUUAUGACAAUUUUAUCCACCCUAAUAGGGAGAUUUUUGUCGAUGCUCCUAUCUCGUAGAAUGAAAAAAGGGAUGCCUAGGAUCUUCACCCUAACAAGGAGAUCUUUGUUGAUGCUCCUAUAUGAUAGAAUGAAAAUAAAUGUAAGACUUCUCUCAUCUUAGUGAAGUAUAACUAAAAUACCCGACUAAAGGAAACUCCAUAGAAAGUUAAAUAUACUAGAAUAUUUUAUUAGAUUAUUUUAAAAUAAAAAUAUAGCAAUGAAAUAAAAAUAAAAAUAAUAAAAAAUGUAAGAUAAAUAAAAUUUGUACAAAAUGCACUAUGUUAUAUCAUAAAAAGAUUUUUUUUUAAUAAUAUGUGUAUUAUAUAAAUCUUAAUUAUAUUUCUUUUUAACAUUUUUCUAGACAGUGAAAACUCAAACCAAACAAUAUUUUAUACUUUUCAUUUUUUUUUAAAACAAUUUUUAUUUAUUUUUAAUCAAACCAUAUUUCCAAGAAAAAAAUAUAGGAAAUGAAAACUAUCUUUAAAAAAAUGAAAGACUAGAAGACACUUUCCGAAGCAUUUACUUAUUUUGACUCUUUUAUAUAAAAUUAAAAUAAUUUAAAAAUUGCAUCAAACUAAUUUUACUUAUGUUAGAUGUAACAAAGUCGCUCUUUUAAAUCAAGAUAUAAAAUGGUGAUUGAACCAUAACCAGCUGAGAUGGUGAAAGUUUGAUAUAAGAAAUUAUAUUAUUUUUUAUAUAUUUUUCAUAAUAAAAUUAAGCAUCAAGACAUAAUUUUAGUAUCGAUUUUAUUAAAUAAAAAUGGUGAACAAAUCCACCAAUUAUUAAUCUUGCCAAUGUGUUUGGCGAAUUAUUACAUUGUUGGAAGAUGACAUGGCUAAAGUGGAGGAGAGCAAACCGCUUGACAUGCGCAAGUGUGAUCAGACUUAAAUUGUGUGCAAUGGCAUCCGUGAAGCAUGCUACUUGCACCAUACUUUCCUGACAUCUCGAUGAAGCAACCAAGAUUCUCAGAUGGACAUUUUCCCGGAAAAUGUUCAGUCACAGUACAGAAUGGCCCUGCAAGAAUAAAUGAAAGACCAAGUUUGUAUCAACAUUUUUUUUCCUUUUUUUUUUUCUUUUUUAAAAAGAUGGAUUUUGAGAUAUAUCUCUAGAAUUUUUUUGCAAAUUUAAUAAAUGAGAGUUCCUUAUUUUAUUUUCCUUUUUUAAAAAAAAUAAUAAGAAAAAUAGAAAAUAUAAGAGCUUGUUUAGAAACUACUUUUUGAAAAGAAUAUUUGUUUUUUUCUAAAGAAUAUAAAAUAGUUUUUUAACCUAGAAAUGUGUUUGGAAAAUCUUUAAUUGAAAAUGUGUUUUUGAUAAUUUAUUUCAACUUUUGUAUUUAGAGAAUAAGGUAAAAAGAAAAAAAAAUUAUAUCUGAGUUUUCAAAUAAAAUUUUGUUUUUAAAAAUAUUAUGAAUUGAUUUUAAAAUGUAUUUAAAUAUUAUUUUUUGAAAAUUAUUUUUGAAAACAUCAUGACAGAAACUAACCAUAUAUUUAUAAUUGUUUUUUGAUGUUUUGUAAAAUAAAAAUAUGUUUAAGAUUUUAAAAUAUUCUUAAUCUUUUUCUAUAUUAUUAAUUAUAUUUUAUAUUUUCUCAUUGAUAAUUUCUAUUUCCACAUUGAUAAUCAUGUUUUCCUAUUUUUUUAUUUUAAAGAAUAUAAAAUUACUUUAAAAAAUAAUUAAUUAGUACCUUGAGCUUGACCGAAGGUAAGCAGACUUGACAAGAUAACGAGACAAAGCAUGAGAGGUACUGCCAUCUUCUUCAUGAUUUCUUUAUUUU